CAAUCUUUUUGUUAAAGCAGUCUAUGGUGGCGUGAUACGCCGCUAGCCAAUCCAUUCCUAGGAUUACAUCAAAAUCCCCUGUGUCUAACCCUAUCAGGUCUACCCUCAAUUUCCUAUCUGCUAUCUCCACGGCACAUGCCCUGUAGACAACCUCUCCUAGCAAUGUCUCCCCUACCAGCAUGUAGGAGGCAAUGGCAGCCCUCUGCUCAGGAACUACUCCCAAGGUCUCGAAAGCUCUUUCAGUCUCUGCCAGCCAGUAUUGGGCCUCUUCAAAAGAGGAUCCCCCUGCAAAAGUAGAAGGGUUCAGUCUUCUGUACCUCUCUAUGAAGCCGGGGUCGAUCAAGGAAGGAGCGGGGUCCCGAGGUAGAGGGACUUGGGCCGGCUGAGGGUUAACUGGGGGACCCUGUGGUGGCACCUGCUGAUGUGGGGGGGUACUGGAAUGUGCUGUGGCGGCGCCUGUUGGUACUGUGGCUGUGGUACAGGGUCGUACCGCGGCUGUGGCACCGGGUGGUACUGUGGAGGAACAGGCUCCUGCCGGGGUGGCUCGGGAUCAGCUGCUGUAGCGGGGGCUCAACCUGUGCUAGCGGAGGAGGUUCGGGUAACUCCCUUCUCUCCUCUUGCCUUUGCUGGGUAGCUACGAGAGCCUCCACCAUCUCAAAUAGUCUGUCUAAAUCCUCCCGAAGCGAAUUAUCUUGGGCCGCUUGGUUUAGUGGGGGUCUUCCUCUCCUCAUUCCCGUGUACUCGUUUUCACAAGGAAUGAUUGAGUAACGACAUAUCGGUGAGUAUUACUCUAAGGCACUAUUGUGUAAGGGAUGGGUCCGAGGAAAUGCGGCUCUGAUACCAACUGUAGCAGCCCCGGAAAUUUAAAAUGGAAGUUAUAUUCAAAAAUAUCAAAUGCGGAAAGCGAGAUCAAAAUUUCAGUUAACAUCCCUUACACGAAAACCAAAAACGUGCUCAAAAUAUAAAAGAUUAAACUAACAAAAAAAAGAAACUCGAAAGAAACUCGAAUGUAAAGCUAUGAGUAUGAUUAUGGAGUCUCUAGGCAUCCCAUUCGUCGUCCUCCUGCGGAACGGGGCUCGGGAUCCAUAUCUUUCCUGAUCUGAAAUGAUUAAAUAAGGAAUGAGCUACACUAGCCCAGUAAGGACAUCACGAUAUCUCACCGUCACAGAGGUAAAGGUGGGUAGAAAACACAAAACGACCAAUGGAGCAUAAUUUACAACAAAUCCUUUUAUCGAUAAAUAAAAUCUUUACCAUUUACUUACCUCGGUGAAAUUCAUAAAACAAUAUACGAGAGCAAUAACAUCAUUAUCAUCAUGGAAACAUAUAUAUGAACUGUAUAACAUAAUACCUAUCACGCUUUUCGUAAUUCAAUCGUUACACAACAUAUUUUCCUAAUUCACUAGCCCACUAGUAUCCAUGGGGAUCCAAAGGGGUCCCGCUACCCGUAAAUCCGUAAUACUUGAAAUCAAAUUCCAGGGCCGUCCCCAUACCCCGUCCGGUAUGGGCGCCAAACCAUAGACCUCAUUACCCCGUCCGGUAUGAGGGUGAAACGGGCCGUCCCCAUACCCCGU
rnacentral:lncRNA from 1 species